CGGGGCACUGGUCCUUCCCAAAAUCCGCACAGUUGUCAUACGUGGCAAGAAAUAACCUGGAAAUAAAUUCCGAUUAAGACCAACAAAAGGGCUGGGGCUUUCCCUUUCACUUGCAGAACCAACGGGUGCUUUAAUCCCUGGCUGCCCCGUUGCUGGGAUAAAGACCGUGCGUGUGAAUUGCUUUUGUUCUCACGUUCUUAUUAACGGGGUAACGGAGGUGCUCAUACUCCCUCGCUGUCUUGCUUAGUUGGCAGGACGCCGGCUUCCCAAAUGUCACCUCCUCCCGCACAGGAUGGAGUGCCAGCUCUGCCCGCUUCCACACCCAGGAGCUACUGUCCCGCUCUUACAGUCAAAGUCUUCAUCUCGGCGAGUUGUCUGCUUCCAAGCAGUCCGUUGGCAACUUGUCUGUCUUGCCAAUUGGUCUGUACAUUUAAUUAAACAGUGAGGACUGAAUUGUAUGGCACCGUCACCAUAUAUGAUCUGAUUCUGGAGGGCGACAAGCGCGUAAUUGCACAAACCUAAACCGAAGCCGGGAGCGCAGCGAGCCGCUGCUCGCCUGAUGGUCCGGCAGCUCCGCCGUUCCAGCGAGGAGAAUUCAUUGCACCGGUGGGGAAUAUGGUUGAGUUCAAGCUGAGUCGAAACAAGCUGAGGCCAAGAGAAGUCCUUAAGCUUCGUGGUCGGCUGAGAGCGAUGGCACCACCGUAUUUACCGUGCGACAGGGCUGCAUUGCAACCCUCCUCGGCACCGGCACCGCCAAGCUGAGCUGCAGGAAAGGUUUGGUUCUGGUUUCAGAUGGUGCUGUGCCAGGGGAGGGAUGGAGAAACCUUUUUGUCUCACCUGAAAAAUGCCGGUGAGAGCCCUGGGAAGGCUGCGGAGCAAGGCUGGCUCUGAGGUUAAAGCGGGGAUUUUGGUACUGGUUUUUGGCGUUGUCACAAUCUAACACAUUAAAAUAUAUUUUAAUUUCUUAAGUGUCCAAAACACGCUGAAGGAGUCAAGAGAAAAUAAAGACAUUGCUGGAAUAACCUGA